rnacentral:rRNA from 1 species
AGACCCGAAACCCGGUGAUCUAGCCAUGGGCAGGUUGAAGGUUGGGUAACACUAACUGGAGGACCGAACCGACUAAUGUUGAAAAAUUAGCGGAUGACCUGUGGCUGGGGGUGAAAGGCCAAUCAAACCGGGAGAUAGCUGGUUCUCCCCGAAAGCUAUUUAGGUAGCGCCUCGUGAAUUCAUCUCCGGGGGUAGAGCACUGUUUCGGCUAGGGGGCCAUCCCGGCUUACCAACCCGAUGCAAACUGCGAAUACCGGAGAAUGUUAUCACGGGAGACACACGGCGGGUGCUAACGUCCGUCGUGAAGAGGGAAACAACCCAGACCGCCAGCUAAGGUCCCAAAGUCAUGGUUAAGUGGGAAACGAUGUGGGAAGGCCCAGACAGCCAGGAUGUUGGCUUAGAAGCAGCCAUCAUUUAAAGAAAGCGUAAUAGCUCACUGGUCGAGUCGGCCUGCGCGGAAGAUGUAACGGGGCUAAACCAUGCACCGAAGCUGCGGCAGCGAACGUAUCACUUAAAGCGAUUCAGCGGAUGACGAUUGACGGAG